CACGUAGGGCGCAAGCGUUGUCCGGAAUUAUUGGGCGUAAAGAGCUCGUAGGCGGUCUGUUGCGUCCGCUGUGAAAACUCGGGGCUUAACCCCGAGCCUGCAGUGGAUACGGGCAGACUAGAGGUAGGUAGGGGGAGAAUGGAAUUCCCGGUGUAGCGGUGAAAUGCGCAGAUAUCGGGAGGAACACCGGUGGCGAAGGCGGUUCUCUGGACCUGUCCUGACGCUCAGGCGCGAAAGCUAGGGGAGCGAACAGG
rnacentral:rRNA from 1 species